rnacentral:piRNA from 1 species
UNUUCAUAGGUGCUAGGAUAUAUUUGG